UACGUAGGGUGCGAGCGUUAAUCGGAAUUACUGGGCGUAAAGCGUGCGUAGGCGGUUCGUUAAGUCAGCUGUGAAAGCCCCGGGCUCAACCUGGGAACUGCGGUUGAAACUGGCGAACUAGAAUCUGGCAGAGGGGGGUGGAAUUCCACGUGUAGCAGUGAAAUGCGUAGAGAUGUGGAGGAACACCGAUGGCGAAGGCGGCCAACUGGACCGACAUUGACGCUGAGGCGCGAAAGCGUGGGGAUCAAACAGG
rnacentral:rRNA from 1 species